rnacentral:rRNA from 1 species
GACGGGACCCGCACAAGCGGUGGAUGAUGUGGAUUAAUUCGAUGCAACGCGAAAACCUUACCUACGCUUGACAUGUCAGGAACCUCGAAGAGAUUUGAGGGUGCCCGAAAGGGAACCUGAACACAGGUGUUGCAUGGCUGUCGUCAGCUCGUGUCGUGAGAUGUUCGGUUAAGUCCGCUAACGAGCGCAACCCUCGCUGUAUGUUACAUGUGUCAUACAGGACCGCCGGUAUCAAGCCGGAGGAAGGUGGGGAUGACGUCAAGUCCGCAUGGCCUUUAUGUCCGGGGCUACACACACGCUACAAUGGUCGGUACAAUGGGUUGCUAAGCCGCGAGGUGGAGCCAAUCCCCCAAAGCCGGCCUCAGUUCAGAUUGCAGGCUGCAACUCGCCUGCAUGAAGCUGGAGUUGCUAGUAAACGCGCGUCAGCUAUAGUGCGUUGAAUACGUUCUCGGGCCUU